GACGAACGCUGGCGGCGUGCCUAACACAUGCAAGUCGAACGGAGAAAUUAUUUCGGUAAUUUCUUAGUGGCGAACGGGUGAGUAACACGUAAACAACCUGCCUUUUAGACGGGGACAACAUCUCGAAAGGGAUGCUAAUACCGAAUGUCUUAGCUUUACCGCAUGGCAGAGCUAAUAAAGGUGGCCUCUAUUUAUAAGCUGCCGCUAAAAAGAGGGGUUUGCGUCUGAUUAGCUAGUUGGUGAGGUAACGGCUCACCAAGACGAUGAUGCGUAGCCGACCUGAGAGGGUGGCCGGCCACACUGGGACUGAGACACGGCCCAG
rnacentral:rRNA from 1 species